rnacentral:lncRNA from 1 species
UCUUGAAUAUUUUGAUAUUAUUUGUCCAUCUCUAGCCAAUACAAAGUAGCAAACUAAAUCCCAAAAUUACCCUCACUUAUUUGUCAUUUCAAUGUUGAAUUCUCUUUUUAUUGCGAGUAAAUGCAAAAAAAAUACUCCCUCCGUCCCAUCUAAUUCUUAUCAUUAUGGGACGGGGGCUCGGCACGCACUUUAAGACUCUUAAAGAGUAUAAUUCUAUUAUUUUUUAUUUUUUUUUCUUCUGAAUAAAAAUUUAACAUUUAUAUUUUUAUACAGAAAAAGAAAAUUUUAAAAAAGAGUUAUGAAAUUAUAUUUUAUAUGUGGCUUCAAAUGCGUGCCGAAUAUUGAAAAAGAAAUGCAAAGAAAUGGAUGGGACAGAGGGAGUAUGCAACUUGGGAAAAAGAUGACAUCUAAAGUUUCAAUGUGUGCCAAUUUUAUGGUGAAUGGCGUAUUAUAGGACACCGGUCUCUUUUGGUGAAAUCUUCCCAC